CCGAUGGAUUAUGAUGUCUGUCUCACUGACGUCAGACAACAUACAAUAUAACAUAUCAAUUGAAUAUGUUGUCUGUCUCAAUGUCAACAAACAACAUAUAAUAACAUCCAUCGAUUGAAUAUGUUGUCUGUCUCAGUGUCAGCAGACAACAUAUAAUAAAAUCCAUCGAUUACUUAUGUUGUCUGUCUCAAUGACACCAGACAACUUGUACUAGACCAAUGAUUUUUGAAAACAACAGAG
rnacentral:lncRNA from 1 species